rnacentral:rRNA from 1 species
UUAAUUGAAGAGUUUGAUCAUGGCUCAGAUUGAACGCUGGCGGCAGGCCUAACACAUGCAAGUCGAGCGGUAACAGAAAGUAGCUUGCUACUUUGCUGACGAGCGGCGGACGGGUGAGUAAUGCUUGGGAACAUGCCUUGAGGUGGGGGACAACAGUUGGAAAC